rnacentral:rRNA from 1 species
UACGGAGGGUGCGAGCGUUGUCCGGAAUCACUGGGCGUAAAGGGCGCGUAGGUGGCCCGUUAAGUGGCUGGUGAAAUCCCGCGGCUCAACUGCGGGGCUGCCGGUCAUACUGGCGAGCUAGAGCACUGUAGGGGCAGAUGGAAUUCCCGGUGUAGCGGUGGAAUGCGUAGAGAUCGGGAAGAAUACCAGUGGCGAAGGCGUUCUGCUGGGCCGUUGCUGACACUGAGGCGCGACAGCGUGGGGAGCAAACAGG